rnacentral:rRNA from 1 species
UCAGGGUAGUAACAGAGAGUUUGAUCCUCUGGCUCUGAUUGAAUCGCAGGCGGGAUGCUUACACAUGCAAGUCGAACGGCAAUACCGACUUCGGCCCGGUGGCGAGUGGCGGAACGGGUGAGUAAUGUAUCGAACAAAUGUAGCGGGGAUAACUACGCGAAAGUUGUAGCUAUACCGCACGCCCUUCGGGGGAAAGCGGGGACCUUCGGGCCCCGCACCAUUAGACACGAUAUCGGAUCAGCUAGUUGGUGGGGUAACGGCUCACCGGCUAAGCGGGAGAUCCGUAGCUGGUUUGAGAGGACAUUUAUUCAGCCACCGGACUGGAGACACGGUCCAGACCUACGGAGGCAGCAGGGUGAAUUUUGGACAAUGGGGAAACCCCAGAUCCAGCCAUCCUUGGCAAAAGGGCGAAGGCCUUCGGGUUGUAAAGCACUUUGGCAGGAAGAACGGCACGGGAUAAUACCCGUAACCGACGGUACCUGCAGCAUAAGCACCGGCUAAUCACGCCAGCAGCCGGUAAUACGUAGGGUGCAAGCGUUGACCGGAAUUACUGGGCGUAAAGUGCGCAGGCGGUUCGAAAGAAAAGAUGUGAACCAGAGCUUAACUUUGAACCGCAUUUCCACUACCGGAGCUAGGAGUGUCAGAGGGAGGAAUUCCGCGCGUAGCAGUGAAAUGCGUAGAUAUGCGGAGGAACACCGAUGGCGAAGGCAGCCUCCGGGAUAACAUUGACGCUCAUGCACGAAAGCGUGGGGAGCAAACAGGAUUAGAUACCUGAAGGUCCACGCCCUACAAACGAUGUCAACUAGCUGUUGGGGCCUUCGGGCCUUAAAGCGGAAGCAGUAGUUGACCGCCUGGGGAGCGUUUGGCCUGGCAUUAAAACUCAAAUGACCAUCGGGGAUCCGCACAAGCGGUGGACGAUGUGGAUUAAUUGAUGCAACGCAUGUAAAACCUUACCUACCCUUUUGACAUGUCUGGGAAUCCCCGCAGAUUUGGUGGAGUGCUUCCGGCAGAACCGGAACACAGGUGCUGCAUGGCUGCCGCCAGCUUCUCCGUCGAGAUGUUGGGUUAAGUCCCGCAACGAGCGUGUCCUCAUUAGUUGCCACAGCGCACUCAUCGAGACUGCCGGUGACAAACCGGAGGAAGGUGGGGAUGACGUCAAGUCUCGGCCCUGCGGGUAGGGCUUCACACGUCAAGUACAAUGGUCGGGACAGAGGGUCGCCAACCCGCGAGGGGUGAGUCACAAUCCCAGAAACCCGAUCGUAGUCCGGAUCGCAGUCUGCAACUCGACUGCGUGAAGUCGGAAUGUUAUAAUCGCGGAUCAGCAUGUCGCGGUGAAUACGUUCCCGGUCUUGCGUUGUCACCGCCCGUCACACCAUGGGGAGUGGGUUUUACCAGAAGUAGUUAGCCUAACCGUAAGGGGAGGGCGAUUACCACGGAUUCAUGAUCAGGUGAAGUUUUGUAACAAGGUAA